GUGAUUCAAGAAGAAUCGUUAAAUAUCAAUUCAUAAAAGCCUCCGCUGAAUGACGCCAGGGAUUUGGUAGAGGACAUUGGAAAUAGAUAACAACAAUUUGUUUGUGCAUUGUUCAGAUUCAACGCAGAUAGAUAACUUACAACGCUAUAUACCAAACCAACGUCCGAAUAAAUAUUUAACAGACCAUCCACCUGCCGGUACAUUAACGUUUGAAAUGAAAUGCAGUAGAAUGAACUAAGGCCGGGGAGAAACUCAUUCACAAGCACGAAUAUUUUCAUCCUCCCUUCGGCCUUCCACUGCUCUUACAGUGCCAACUAUAAUUAAGCACUGCUACUUCCACCUUGAUUUCCAUGAGCCCAGUAAGGUUUAGCAGGGGUGCGUCGUAAUGCCCUCACUCCCAAUGGGUUGUCCUUGCUCUGUUGCAGAAAAUUCAAGAAAGCACAUAAGAAAAAUAAAAAAAUAAUCAAAAAGAGAAAACCAGGACUGCUAAAUUUAAACUUGAAAGCUCAAAAGAAAAACAUCAAACGAUUUCUUAAUAGAAUCAUGCAAUGCAACCAAAUAGCUUGAAUUUAAAACAUGAAUAUCGAAAUAUUUGCCCAUUGGUCUUUGGCACACUGCUGCAAAGCCUAGAGCAGCCAAGCGUACCAACAAAAUUUAGCAUAUCUUACCAUCAAGCAGGUCCCAGCACGAACAUUACAGAUGGGAUAGUCAUGUGGGCAGCAGCUAUAGUGGUCAUCACAGCAGGUGGCAGCCUCAAGCGGGCAGCAUCCCCAUGCAAAGCAAGAGUUACCAUACUCAAAGACACAGCAGCAAGUGUUGCUCUCAGGGCAAGAGUAAUAAUUGUCACACACAGCAGGAGGCUUUGUUGGAGAUGGAGGGGACGGUCCAGGGUUGGGAGGAUUUUGGCCUUUCUUUAUGGGAUAUGAGGCCUCCAUGGCAAUUCCACACUUGCCCGUGAGAGUGCCAGCCACGUUACGCUCCAUCCUAAUAUAGCCAGCCUCUCCCCAGCUACUGCCCCAUGAAUUCUUCACAAUCCAGUAAUCAGCUCCAUUUUCUGUGCCAUAUCCAACAGCAGUAACACCAUGGUCCAGAGAUGUCCCACAUCUUCCCGUAAAUAUACCCUGAAAAUUUGCAAAGACAGAAAAAUAUACUUGAGACUUCCUUAAAACAGAUCAGACACACACAAGACUCUUCCUGAUCCUGUUUAGAAACCAUUAGAAAUACAAUAAUUUUUGUUCAAAUACCAUCCAGUAUUGUCUCAACCAUAUCUUUUCAGAACUGCAAAAUGCAAAUACUUUGUAUCUAGAUAAUAGCAACAUUCCUAAAUCUAAAAUGUGACAAGUGCCAUGAAGAGAUGAAAGUUACCGAUUCAUAUAACUGGAAUGCCAUGCCACCUCCUUCAAUGGCAACACUCACGGGUUGAUUUGCAACUGCCUUUUGCAAAGCUUUCUCGUCAUUUAGGGGAAC
rnacentral:lncRNA from 1 species